rnacentral:rRNA from 1 species
AUUGAACGCUGGCGGCAUGCCUUACACAUGCAAGUCGAACGGCAGCAUGAUCUAGCUUGCUAGAUUGAUGGCGAGUGGCGAACGGGUGAGUAAUACAUCGGAACGUGCCCUGUAGUGGGGGAUAACUAGUCGAAAGAUUAGCUAAUACCGCAUACGACCUGAGGGUGAAAGUGGGGGACCGCAAGGCCUCAUGCUAUAGGAGCGGCCGAUGUCUGAUUAGCUAGUUGGUGAGGUAAAGGCUCACCAAGGCGACGAUCAGUAGCUGGUCUGAGAGGACGAUCAGCCACACUGGGACUGAGACACGGCCCAGACUCCUACGGGAGGCAGCAGUGGGGAAUUUUGGACAAUGGGGGCAACCCUGAUCCAGCAAUGCCGCGUGUGUGAAGAAGGCCUUCGGGUUGUAAAGCACUUUUGUCCGGAAAGAAAUCGCACUUACUAAUAUUAGGUGUGGAUGACGGUACCGGAAGAAUAAGGACCGGCUAACUACGUGCCAGCAGCCGCGGUAAUACGUAGGGUCCAAGCGUUAAUCGGAAUUACUGGGCGUAAAGCGUGCGCAGGCGGUUGUGCAAGACCGAUGUGAAAUCCCCGGGCUUAACCUGGGAAUUGCAUUGGUGACUGC